rnacentral:rRNA from 1 species
UAUGUGAUCGUCUCUCGCAUAUCAAUAAGCGGAGGAAAAGAAACUAACAAGGAUUCCCCUAGUAACGGCGAGUGAAGCGGGAAGAGCUCAAAUUUGAAAUCUUAAAGGGUUUCCCUUUACGAAUUGUAGUUUAAAGAAGUGUUUUCUGUUGAGGUUUUGGUAAAAGUUCUUUGGAAUAGGACAUCAUAGAGGGUGAGAAUCCCGUAUUUGACCUUUACUUUCAACUUUGUGAUACACUUUCAAAGAGUCGGAUUGUUUGGGAAUGCAGUCCAAAAUGGGUGGUAAAUUUCAUCUAAAGCUAAAUAUUGGCGAGAGACCGAUAGCGAACAAGUACCGUGAGGGAAAGAUGAAAAGAACUUUGAAAAGAGAGUUAAACAGUACGUGAAAUUGUCAAAAGGGAAGCGUUUGACACCAGUGUUGUUUUUCUGAAAAUCAAUUAAAGAACUGUUUAUGCUAAGUUGUUUAGACUUUAUCAGCUAUCUGUUUAGUUUUGAGCUUUUCUUUAAUGCACUUUUCAGUUAACAAGUCAACAUCAAUUUCUUUUGCUGUAAAAAAGCUUGAGGAAGGUGGCUUGAGAUUCGUCUUAAGUGUUUAUAGCCUCUUGCCCUAUGCAGUCGGAGAGAUUGAGGUCUGCAGCGUAGAUCCUUCGGGGCUAAAUGACAUUUGUGCUAAGCUACUAGCAUUUUCAUAGACAACUUGUUGACUAUGAUUUAGUCUUGUAGCUUACCUCGCUUAUGCUAUUUUACCUACGCUUAGGAUGUUGACUGAUAUGUAGUCGUA